CCUACGGGUGGCAGCAGUGGGGGAUAUUGGGCAAUGGAGGCAACUCUGACCCAGCAACGCCGCGUGAAUGAUGGAGGUCUUCGGAUUGUAAAGUUCUUUUCUAAGGGAAGAAGAAAGUGACGGUACCUUAGGAAUAAGCCUCGGCUAACUACGUGCCAGCCGCCGCGGUAAUACGUAGGAGGAAAGCGUUACCCGGAAUGACUUGGUGUAAAGAGUGCGUAGGGGGUUUGACAAGUUAGUAGCGCAACUCCGGGGCUCAACUUCGGAACUACUACUAAAACUGUUGGACUUGAGUGCAGGAGGGGCAAUCGGAAGUCCUAGUGUAGCGGUGGAAUGCGUAGAUAUUAGGAGGAACACCAGUGGCGAAGGCGGAUUGCUGGACUGUGACUGACACUGAGGCACGAAAGCGUGGGGAGCAAACAGGAUUAGAUACCCCAGUAGUC
rnacentral:rRNA from 1 species